AAUAUCACAAGAGCUCCAAAAUGUGCAAAGAAUGUUAUUAGAAGUAGAGGGGAGUUUGGGCAAGACACCAUCAGAAAUGAUCCAGGUUAUGAAUAUUCCAUUGGAAAGGAAUGAGGAGCAGCUACUUCAAGAACUGAAGCUUGAUUUCUCUACCUGGACCACCUACCCAAUUACUGGAUUGAGAAAAAUGCUCAUGAACUACCAGAG